rnacentral:rRNA from 1 species
AGUGAACGCUGGCGGCGUGCUUAACACAUGCAAGUCGAGCGAGAUUCUACAGCACACCGUAGAGUCUAGCGGCAGACGGGUGAGUAACACGUAGGAAACUUUCCCUGAAAUGGAUGAUACCCCCGAGAAAUCGGGGCUAAUACUGCAUAAGACCACAUUCCGGCAUCGGAAAGAGGUCAAAGGCCCGCAAGGGUCGUUUCGGGAUGGUCCUGCGUCCUAUCAGCUAGUUGGUGAGGUAACGGCUCACCAAGGCUAUGACGGGUAGCCGGCCUGAAAGGGCGAUCGGCCACACUGGAAAUGAGACACGGUCCAGACUCCUACGGGAGGCAGCAGUGGGGAAUUUUGGACAAUGGGCGAAAGCCUGAUCCAGCAACGCCGCGUGAAGGAUGACGGUCUUCGGAUUGUAAACUUCUUUUAGAGGGAACGAAAAAAAUGACGGUACUCUCAGAAAAAGCCACGGCUAACUACGUGCCAGCCGCCGCGGUAA